rnacentral:rRNA from 1 species
GAUGAACGCUGGCGGCGUGCUUAACACAUGCAAGUCGAGCGAGAAAGUUUAGAAGGAUUCUUCGGAUGACUAAUAGACUGGAAAGCGGCGGACGGGUGAGUAACGCGUGGGCAACCUGCCCCGUACAGAGGGAUAGCCACUGGAAACGGUGAUUAAUACCUCAUAAGACCACAGAAGCACAUGCUUCAGGGGUAAAAACUCUGGUGGUACGGGAUGGGCCCGCGUCUGAUUAGCUGGUUGGUGAGGUAACGGCUCACCAAGGCGACGAUCAGUAGCCGACCUGAGAGGGUGAUCGGCCACACUGGAACUGAGACACGGUCCAG